GUGGGGAAUAUUGGACAAUGGGCGAAAGCCUGAUCCAGCCAUGCCGCGUGUGUGAAGAAGGUCUUCGGAUUGUAAAGCACUUUAAGUUGGGAGGAAGGGCAGUAAGUUAAUACCUUGCUGUUUUGACGUUACCGACAGAAUAAGCACCGGCUAACUUCGUGCCAGCAGCCGCGGUAAUACGAAGGGUGCAAGCGUUAAUCGGAAUUACUGGGCGUAAAGCGCGCGUAGGUGGUUUUGUAAGUUGGAGAUGAAAUCCCCGGGCUCAACCUGGGAACUGCCUCCAAAACUGCAUGACUAGAGUACGGUAGAGGGUAGUGGAAUUUCCUGUGUAGCGGUGAAAUGCGUAGAUAUAGGAAGGAACACCAGUGGCGAAGGCGACUACCUGGACUGAUACUGACACUGAGGUGCGAAAGCGUGGGGAGCAAACAGGAUUAGAAACCCUGGUAGUCC
rnacentral:rRNA from 1 species